rnacentral:misc_RNA from 1 species
UUUCUUUGUUUUUGGUGACUCUCUGGUUGAUAAUGGCAACAAUAACUAUCUUGCAACAACUGCUCGAGCCGAUGCCCCUCCCUAUGGCAUUGAUACUCCGACUCAUCGAGCCACUGGCCGUUUUUCUAAUGGCCUUAACAUCCCUGACCUUAUCAGUGAGGCAAUUGGCUCAGAACCCACACAGCCAUACUUAAGUCCAGCACUCACAGGAGAAAGAUUGCUUGUGGGCGCCAACUUUGCUUCUGCCGGAAUUGG